rnacentral:rRNA from 1 species
ACGGAAGGCAGCAGUGGGGAAUAUUGGGCAAUGGGCGGAAGCCUGACCCAGCGACGCCGCGUGAGGGAAGACGGUCUUCGGAUUGUAAACCUCUUUCAGCAGGGAAGAUAAUGACGGUACCUGCAGAAGAAGCCACGGCUAACUACGUGCCAGCAGCCGCGGUAAUACGUAGGUGGCAAGCGUUAUCCGGAUUUAUUGGGUGUAAAGGGUGUGUAGGCGGGACUGCAAGUCAGAAGUGAAAAUUAUGGGCUCAACCCAUAACCUGCUUUUGAAACUGUGGUUCUUGAGAGUGGGAGAGGUAAACGGAAUUCCUGGUGUAGCGGUGAAAUGCGUAGAUAUCAGGAGGAACACCGGUGGCGAAGGCGGUUUACUGGACCAUUACUGACGCUGAGACACGAAAGCGUGGGGAGCAAACAGGAUUAGAUACCCUGGUA